GAGAAUGCUUUGCCAUCUGCCAUAAACAGUCAUGACAAGCCUCCAUCGAUCCCAGAGAAAAUGUAGGCAGUCCUUCAAGCAUUGGACUGAAGUUCUAAGAACCUGAUUGGCAAUAUUUUCCCAAUAAAGUUCCUGGUUGGCAUUGGCAAUAUUUAUUAUCCCAUUUACAGUGAUACAGUGAUGACAAUCCCAGGAUGAUAGAGCAUGGGAAUGCUUUGCCAUCUGCAUAAGCUGUCAUUGCAAGUCUCCACCAACCCCAGGAAGAGAAGUGAAGAGCCCACAACUGAACACAGUACACCAGAUGAGGUCUGACCAGCACAUAAUAUGAUGGAUGCUAAAGGAAAGUACAGCAACAGAUGAGCACACUGCCCAUUACACAGCAUCACUGGACUUCCUGUUGAAGCCACAACAAGAGUGGAAUGUUACCGGUAGCUGUUCCAGGUUGGAUCAUCUGUUCAUUUUUUGAAAUGUUUUCUUCACAUCAUCAUCCAAAUAUGAAAGGACAGACCUUACAGCACUCCACUUGAGAUCUCCUUCCAAUCUGAAGCAUAGUCAUUUUUAGCAUGGUUGUCGAAGUAAUUGUGGAUCCAGCUUAUGGUGUUUCCAGGUAUUCCAUGUUUAGUCAAUUUGCUAAUCAAAAUAGCAUGGAGAACUUUAUGAAUUGCUUUUCUGGAAUAAAUCCUGUAAUGCAAGAGUUUGCCUUCCCCAAUUCUUCUAAUAUUUGAUAGGUUUAGUAUACUCAGGAAUUGAAGUUUUGUUUCUUUUGUAGUAAGUCUAUACUUUUUUUGUGCAUUCUCCUUUUGUGCACUGCAGGAAGUGCUUAGUUGGAGUGUUUCUGAUUCACUUUUGCAUCAUUUGCUCCUGAUGAUAACAGGAUGUUCUAUGAGUGUUACCACCCUCUUCAUUUUCAUAGGUUUUUUUCUGAUUGGUUAUAUUAGUUCUACCUUUGUUCUAACCAGGACAUCCUUGUGUUCUCUGAUGUAUUGUAAAGUCUCCACAAUGAGUUACCUUCUCCUCUAAGAAAGCCAUCAGUUGGAACUUGCUGCAACUUUAGUAAGUGAUGUUUUCUGGCAAGGAGACAAAUAUUUCACGCACACUGCAGCAGGCAUUGACAGAUCCUUCUUUUCCCAUCCCUGCAGUUAUUUUCUUUCAUUUUAAAACUCUAAUAACUCUUAUUGACAUGGCUGCAUGUACCUCAAGGUGCUCUCCACUGGCCCUCAGAGACUGAACUCCAAAGACUGAGGCAGCAGUUAUAAGGGGCUAAUGUCUGCUAACUUCACUUCCUAGCAAGUUGGUGACUCCGAAGAACUCAUGCUCCAUUAUACCAUAUGCCUGUGAAGUACAAGCAGCUCAAAACAAAACACACAAAAAGCCCUAAAAUGUCAAAUAGUCAAUAAUGACUCAUCAAAAUGCAACUCACCUUUUAUUCUAUCUUCACAGAUCUCCAAAGACUGAGACAUCAUUUAUAUAGUUCUAGUGACUGUUGUGUGCCCAAGCAAUUGAUAAAGUGAAGCAUAAAAGCUGUGCAUGAGUAGAAAAUUGCCAUUCUAUUUGUACUCCCAAACCACUGAUACAGAGAGGCAUAUAACAUUUCGUAUUAAGAGUGAAUAUAUAUUCAAUAUAAACAACAGACACUGAUUUCCAAUCCUCUAAGAAUUUGCUCAAUUUUGAUCUGAUCCACCAUAUGACAAUACUAUCAUUAACACGUAUCUAAUGUCUAAAAUGUUAGUUAUGUUCAGCCAUUAAAAAGGAGAUGAGUUAACUUAAUUGUGGAGACAUUAUGCAUUUAUUGACCAUAACUCAACAGGAUUACCUUAAUUGAUACCAUUAUAUCAUUUAAGAUCUAUGUUUCUAUGCUGGUAAAUAAAAGAAAAACUUACAAAACUAACUAAAAAUCAGUGUUGUUGUAUGUCUUUCGGGC